rnacentral:rRNA from 1 species
GACGUAGGGGGCAAGCGUUACCCGGAAUUACUGGGCGUAAAGGGGGCGUAGGCGGUAAAAGAAGUCAUCUGUGAAAACCUAUUGCUCAACGAUAGGCUAGCGGAUGAAACUGAAUUACUUGAGGGCACCAGAGGUAGACGGAAUUACCCGAGUAGGGGUGAAAUCAGCAGAUACGGGUAGGAACGCCGGUGGAGAAGUCGGUCUACUGGGGUGCACCAGACGCUGAGGCCCUAAAGCUAGGGGAGCAAACCGUAUUAGAUACCCGGGUAGUCCUAGCCGUAAACGAUGCUCACUAGGUGUAGGGAGUGAUAAACUCUCUGUGCUGAAGCGAACGCACUAAGUAGACCGCCUGGGGAGUACGGUCGCAAGAUUAAA